UGAAAAGUCGACUGCGGAUCUGCAAGGGAUAGGAUGGUAGUGGAUCAGAUGAUUAUAUAAAAGUAUAAUGUGCCCGUGUCACCAACGGAUGAUCGAGAUGGUAUGUCCGGUAUCACUUUAAAUGUUCACAACUCUCAGGAUGGCGUAUUUCUGCCUGCCGCUUAUUUCCUGCUUUGACCUUGUGAACUCGUCCGUGUGACCCGGAAAAAUCACUUCAAAUUCUCAUCUUUUAUUUUGAUAUGCCUGGGCUUGUUAUGUAUUACCCAGACAGGAUGUGACAUCACCGGGUCCAAACGUCAGGACGGGCUACCUAGGAUGUCCAGAACCCGUGCUGCUGGAGGAUGCUUCCUCGCAGCGGGGUCCAGUCAAGUGAUGCUCGCUGGAGGAUGUAGGAGUGAGCCAAGCAGGCGAGACAGAGGCACAGGAGACUGAAAAUCUCUAUUUCCUCUUCUUCCUGGUUUGAGUAUGACCCCUCACCUGGCUUGUGACCCUUCAACUGGAUAUCACUCCUAAGAGUUGGCUCUGGGGCAGAUUACUCCUGUUGAACCACAGUGUUAGACCAGCACCCUGUCUACAACAUCACAGCCAGUCUACACUGGGGCUGUGACUACUGGCAUGACUGGGACCAGUGUGGCCCAGACUCCUCUCCUCCAUACCCAGACUGUAGCAGCUGAUCCCUAUCGCCACCAGGGGCACCUGGCUCCCCUCCCUCCUCUGACUGGAUCAAUGACUAGAGCCAUCCCAUCCCAGGGACCAGGGGUCAGCAUCAAAAGCCCCCUGCCCACAUCCUUGCCACCUGGUGCUCUCUUUAGGACGAGAGGGUACACUUCCACCCCUCCACCCUCCUCCUGAACAGACCAGGCUGUUUGGACAUGGAGCCAGAACAGGGUCUUCGUGUGAUCUCCCGCGCCCCCUCCCCAGCCGCCCCCCACAGGGAGAGGGCCAGGGGUCAACCCCAUCAGACCACCACACGGCUCACAGAGCCAUUUGAUGAGGGGAUCUGUUUUGGAUUUCAUAAUGCCCUCUGAAUCAUGAUCCUGAGCCCUACUCAACUUGGUUAAAUGUGUAAUCUGUUUGUCAAAAGCUUCAUGUUGUAAAAACAUUUGUUUUCAGGGAUUUAUGGAUGUGAAGUUGACCUGGUCAAUUAAGGUUUGUAGAUGACUGUUUUCCUGAUUUCAACAUACAGUACAUAUACAACAAUACUCACUUGACUUAAUUACUGGUUCAAAUGAACAUAUCAACAACAUACUGUUAUUUAUGAUACUGUUUAUUAGGUCAUUAAGUAAUUGGGGCAUGUAUGACACCAUAUUGACAGUUAUGAUAAUUAAUCUGACAUGUUUCUGACUAAUCACAACAGGCUUCAAUUUCACUAACUCAUACAUAAUAAUGUAUGAUGUGUCACUACCUCACAGAUUCCUACCAAUGAAAAACUGUACAUGCAGUAUAAAAAAAAUUCUGCCACUCUUGAAGGACAAUAGAAGUUAAAUAUAUGAGAAUAUGUUGUUAAAAAUAAUACCUUUUUGACAUUGAUGCCUUCUAUCCAGACUUCACUGACUGACUUUACUGACUCGUGGAAGUGUGUUAUGGUCAUUCAACUUUGAUACAACAUACCCAAUAUGAAGACUCAGUUCCUCUGUGAUACAGAGCCUGUAUGUUGUUCAGGCUGUCAGUACAUCAUGAAUACAUAUUAAUGAACCCAGAUUUCUAAAUCUGUUUAUUGAGCUUCUUCUUCCAUUUCCUCCCUCCAUUCUUUCCUCCAAUGCGUUAGCAGAUCCCAGUAUGUCCCCUAGUCUUGUGACAAGGGAUGAAAAGGAGAGAAAAAAAGGUCUAAUGAGUUUGGCAAAAGGAGGACGGAGGGGGGAGACAGAUGGCAUGAAGUCUGCGUGGCUCUGGCGUGGCUCGCCUGGUGCUAAAAUCCUCCUCUCUCACAUUCCAACAAAUCCUAGCAGGAGGUUGGGGAGUCUGCCACACCACUCAGUGGAUCCACGGGGUUCUCUCUUGCACCCCUUUCCUCACUCCCCUGCACCCCCGUAAGUCCCUGGCCAAGGGUGUCAGCCUCCCCCAUACCAUAUCCCCACAUGUAUACAUAUAUUAACAUGUUUGUACAGUAUAUAUAGUAUGAUGGGCCAGUUUAUUGGCCUGCUAAGAUAAUAAACACAGGAGGGUGUGAGACGGAGACAGGCGCUGAUUGUUAGUAUGGAAUUGGGCGUGUGGGAUCAAAUUGGGAGUGGACCUAUCCCUCCACUCUAGUGUCAAAUCUCAUUGAGUAAACAUAGGACCCAAGCAUGGAGGCAAAGACUGUAAUCCAUUUAUAUGAGAGGAAGAAAACCUAAGUAGCUUUUCAAUUAGUUUCGCCACCCCCAGCUCCUGAUAAGGAGGAAACGCUGGCAAGUUGAGCCUGUCACAGGCCAGACAUGCCCUGCUCAGAUUGCCCCAUAUUCUCCUCAGUCGGUCCGUCGGUGGGGCUUAUGGCCAAAUGUACAGUAAGUGUAACUGCAUGGUAAUCACACACAGACAGUAUGCCCCACCACUGGCCCGCGGUGACCGCAUGACGUCUUCAUGUGUUUCCACUUCUAAAUUGUUUUGGAUUGCAUUUGAAUUUUAGGAAUGUGCAUUGAGGAGCACCAUAUAAAAGUACAUCAGCGAUAUGAUAAUCAUGUUUAUAAUGUAUAUUACGGACUAUCUCUCUCAAUAUUCUCUCUCUCUUUAUUCUCUCUCUCACUAUUCUCUCUCUCUCGUUAUUCCCUCUCUCUUUAUUCUCUCUCUCUCUCUCUUUCGUCUCUCUCUCUCUCUCUCUCUCUUGUGUUUCUCUGUCUGUCUCUCUGUGUAUAAUUGACUGUAUAGUGCACACUAUCAAUCUCUAACACACUUUUCUCUCUCUCUCUCUGCAUGUAUAUAUUGUGUAUAAUGUACUGUGCAGUGUACACUAUCAAUCUUUAUCUCACUAUCUCCUCUCUCUCUUUAUUCUCUCUCUCUCUCUCUUUAUUCUCUCUCUCUCUUUCGUCUCUCUGUCUCUGUGUAUAAUUGACUGUAUAGUGCACACUAUCAAUCUCUAACACACUUUUCUCUCUCUCUCUGCAUGUAUAUAUUGUGUAUAAUGUACUGUGCAGUGUACACUAUCAAUCUUUAUCUCACUAUCUCUCUCCUCUCUCUCUCUCGGCACUUUGCCUUCUGCUCAUGCUAUUGAGUGGCUCUUCUGGGAAAGGAGGAUGCUGUGAAAAGGUCACAGGAGGUUUGAGUAUCAAAUUACUGUUAAUGAUAACGAUAAUAAAAAGAGAAAUCUGCUCCAAAUCUUAUCUCUGAGCUUUUUUUCCCCCUCCGUAUGGAAUGUGAUUUAUGUGCACUUGGUCUUAUGAAUUGCUUUGCAUGAUUGUAAGGAGAUGUGUAAUUCAUUACAGUGCACAAACUGUUGUUCAUUUGUUGUUCUAUGCUAAUGUGUAUGGAGCUGUAUGUCAUUCAUGUGUGUCUCCGAGGCUCUACUAUGAUGAAAGACACAAUAGUGAGCCAUCUGGGUUGUACCGAGCAUCACACGACAAAAUGACAUCUCAACAUCUCAACCCCAAAGCUUUACACAAACAUUUACAUCCCCAACACUGCAUUUCAAGUUACAACCACAGAAAAUGCUAAUAUUAUUACACUGCCCUAAACUUGGCUCAUGUCUUCACUGAAACUGUACUUACACUACAUUUAAAUGCAAAACUGUCCAUAAACUUGUUGUAAACACUUGCUCUCUCAGUCUUUCGUCGGAUUCUUAAUUACACUAUACUGAUACAGAUGUAAGAUCAUAAUUUGAGCCAGUUUGCUACAGCAGGAAAAUAAUCCUGCAGCAAGAGGAAAUGUGAAUUAUUAUGUGAAUUAGAAUCCAUUUUUCAUAAAGGAAAAUCAAGUCUGAAAUUUAAAAGUGAAAAUUAUAACCUUCAGAAGCCUUUUUAAACCUCAAAAUGAAAAUGCAUUGCAUUUCAGGAACUUUCUCCUGCAACAGGGUGUUUAAAUUAAGAUCCUACACCUGUUAAGCUGAUUCCAUUUGACCACAAAGCCAUAAUACAUAAAUCUGCAGUGACUUUCCCUCCCUCCCUACAGCACAGAGACUGAGAGGUUGGCUGUCCUUCCUUGGUGGCAGGGCAGAGUGGCAUCUUGACAUUACCAUCCCCAGGCCCGCUGGCACAGCUGUCACCCACAGGAUGGGAGACUGGCAGGGUCGAUGGCCGCAUGGCGCGCCUGUUGGCUGCCGCCCUCCGUCCCCCUCUGUCCCCUCCAUCCCAUCUCUCAGUGAAAGGGCAAGAUGGCCUCCGUCAGUCUCUCAGUGCAUUGAUCAGAGGCCAGACCUCCAUUAGCUAAAGGUCACCGGGUUCACUGUGCUCUGUGCCGUCCCUACAGCUCCCCAUGACCAUGGUGGUGGGAGGAUGUUCGUUCCUUGCCCUACCUCCAUUCCGAGACUAGCAUGCUAGCAGAUACCCAUAGACUUCCAGUCAUAGUGCUAACGCUAGUUAGCAUUGGCUCGUCAAACUACCUCUAACUUCCUUCAUACUGGACAUAAAAAUGGUAUCCAUAAGUUUAUCUGACUCUGGGGAAGUAGAUUAAGGGCCUCAUUGCCAAAAUUCUGAAGUAUCCCAUCAAGUAUCAAAAGUAAAUGUAAUUACUAAAAUACACUUAAGUAUCAUAAUUUCACAUUCCUUAUAUUAAGCAAACCAGAUGGCACCAUUUUCUUGUUUUUUAUAUUUACCGAUAGCCAGGGGCACAGUCCAACACUCCAACACUCAGACAAAUGCAAUAUUUGUGUUUAGUGAGUCUGCCAGAUCAGAGGCAGUAGGGAUGACCAGGGAUGUUCUCUUGAGAAGUGUGUGAAUUGGACCAUUUUCCUGUCCUGCUAAGCAUUCGAAAUGUAACGAGUACUUUUGGGUGUCAGGAAAUGUUGUGAAUGACUAUAGUAGCUUGGAAACUGCAGUUUAAAAAAAAUGUAAUAUCUACAUAGACAUACAGAGGCCAAUUAUCAGCAACCGUCACUCCCUAGAAGGCCAGCAUCCCGGAGUCGCCUCUUCACUGUUGACAUUGAGACUGGUGUUUUGCGGGUACUAUUUAAUGAACCUGCCAGUUGAGGACUUGUGAGGCGUCUGUUUCUCAAACUAGACGCUCUAA